UUGAACGCUGGCGGAAUGCUUUACACAUGCAAGUCGAGCGGCAGCGCGGGGCAACCUGGCGGCGAGCGGCGAACGGGUGAGUAAUGCAUCGGAACAUGUCCAUGUCGUGGGGGAUAGCCCGGCGAAAGCCGGAUUAAUACCGCAUACGCCCGAGAGGGGAAAGUGGGGGACCGCAAGGCCUCACGCGAUUGGGUUGGCCGAUGUCCGAUUAGCUAGUUGGCGGGGUAAAGGCCCACCAAGGCGAUGAUCGGUAGCUGGUCUGAGAGGAUGAUCAGCCACACUGGGACUGAGACACGGCCCAGACUCCUACGGGAGGCAGCAGUGGGGAAUUUUGGACAAUGGGGGCAACCCUGAUCCAGCCAUUCCGCGUGAGUGAAGAAGGCCUUCGGGUUGUAAAGCUCUUUUGUCCGGAACGAAACGGGUAGCGUGAAUAUCGCUGCCUACUGACGGUACCGGAAGAAUAAGCACCGGCUAACUACGU
rnacentral:rRNA from 1 species